rnacentral:rRNA from 1 species
GAGCGCCGUAGCAAUACGGAGCGGCAGACGGGAGAGUAACACGUGGGAACGUGCCCUUUGGUCCGGAACAACCCAGGGAAACUUGGGCUAAUACCGGAUAAGUCCGUAAGGAGAAAGAUUUAUCGCUGAAGGAUCGGCCCGCGUCUGAUUAGCUAGUUGGUGAGGUAACGGCUCACCAAGGCGACGAUCAGUAGCUGGUCUGAGAGGAUGAUCAGCCUCACUGGGACUGAGACACGGCCCAGACUCCUACGGGAGGCAGCAGUGGGGAAUAUUGGACAAUGGGCGCAAGCCUGAUCCAGCCAUGCCGCGUGGAUGAUGAAGGCCCUAGGGUUGUAAAGUCCUUUCGGCGGGGAAGAUAAUGACGGUACCCGCAGAAGAAGCCCCGGCUAACUCCGUGCCAGCAGCCGCGGUAAUACGAAGGGGGCUAGCGUUGCUCGGAAUCACUGGGCGUAAAGCGCACGUAGGCGGCUUUUUAAGUCAGGGGUGAAAUCCUGGAGCUCAACUCCAGAACUGCCUUUGAUACUGAGAAGCUUGAGUCCGGGAGAGGUGAGUGGAACUGCGAGUGUAGAGGUGAAAUUCGUAGAUAUUCGCAAGAACACCAGUGGCGAAGGCGGCUCACUGGCCCGGUACUGACGCUGAGGUGCGAAAGCGUGGGGA